UACAGGGGGUGCAAACGUUGCUCGGAAUCAUUGGGCGUAAAGCGCACGUAGGCGGUUCGUUAUGUCGGAUGUGAAAGCCCUUGGCUUAACCGAGGAAGUGCAUCCGAAACUGGCGAGCUAGAGUACUAAAGAGGAUCGCGGAAUUCCCGGUGUAGAGGUGAAAUUCCGUAGAUAUCGGGAGGAACACCGGUGGCGAAGGCGGCGAUCUGGGUAGAUACUGACGCUGAGGUGCGAAGCGUGGGGAGCAAACAGG
rnacentral:rRNA from 1 species